CGCCUAAGGGGCGCAGCAGUGGGGGAUAUUGGACAAUGGGGGAAACCCUGAUGCAGAGACGCCGCGUGUGGGAAGACGGUCCUCUGGAUUGUAAACCACUGUCACCAGGGACGAAGAUGACGGUACCUGGGGAGGAAGCUCCGGCUAACUACGUGCCAGCAGCCGCGGUAAUACGAAGGGAGCAAGCGUUGUCCGGAAUUACUGGGUGUAAAGGGAGCGUCGGCGGGAUGGCAAGUUGGG
rnacentral:rRNA from 1 species